rnacentral:rRNA from 1 species
ACGGCUCAGUAACACGUGGACAACCUACCCAAAAGUCCGGGAUAACCCCGGGAAACUGGGGAUAAUACCGGAUAGAUCAUCUGUGCUGGAAGGCUGGGUGGUUGAAACUUCCGGGGCUUUUGGAUGGGUCUGCGGCUGAUUAGGUUGUUGCCGGUGUAACGUACCGUCAAGCCUGUAAUCAGUACGGGUUGUGGGAGCAAGAGCCCGGAGAUGGAUUCUGAGACACGAAUCCAGGCCCUACGGGGCGCAGCAGGCGCGAAAACUCUACAAUGCAGGCAACUGCGAUAGGGGAACAUCGAGUGAUCCUCAUAUUGGGGGUCUGUCCACCCGUCUAAAAAACGGGUGUUAGCAAGGGCCGGGCAAGACCGGUGCCAGCCGCCGCGGUAAUACCGGCGGCUCGAGUGGUGGCCGAUAUUAUUGAGUCUAAAGGGUCCGUGGCCGGCUUUGCAAGUCUCUCGGGAAAUCCAGCGGCUUAACCGUUGGUCGUCCGGGGGGUACUACAUUGCUUGGGACUGGGAGAGGUAGGAGGUACUCAGGGGGUAGGAGUGAAAUCCUGUAAUCCUUUGGGGACCACCGGUGGCGAAGGCGUCCUACCAGAACAGGUCCGACGGUGAGGGACGAAAGCUAGGGGCACGAACCGGAUUAGAUACCCGGGUAGUCCUAGCCGUAAACGAUGUUCGCUAGGUGUCACAACAGUCGUGAACUGUUGUGGUGCCGUAGGGAAGCCGUGAAGCGAGCCACUUGGGAAGUACGACCGCAAGGUUGAAACUUAAAGGAAUUGGCGGGGGAGCAC